rnacentral:rRNA from 1 species
AACGAACGCUGGCGGCAGGCCUAACACAUGCAAGUCGAGCGCCCCGCCAGGGGAGCGGCUGACGGGUGAGUAACGCGUGGGAAUAUGCCCUUUGCUACGGAAUAGUCUCGGGAAACUGGGGGUAAUACCGUAUACGCCCUUUGGGGGCAAGAUUUAUCGGCGAAGGAUUAGCCCGCGUUGGAUUAGGUAGUUGGUGGGGUAAUGGCCUACCAAGCCGACGAUCCAUAGCUGGUUUGAGAGGAUGAUCAGCCACACUGGGACUGAGACACGGCCCAGACUCCUACGGGAGGCAGCAGUGGGGAAUCUUAGACAAUGGGGGCAACCCUGAUCUAGCCAUGCCGCGUGAGUGAUGAAGGCCUUAGGGUUGUAAAGCUCUUUCAGCUGGGAAGAUAAUGACGGUACCAGCAGAAGAAGCCCCGGCUAACUCCGUG